GACGAACGCUGGCGGCGUGCCUAAUACAUGCAAGUAGAACGCUGAAGGAGGAGCUUGCUUCUCUGGAUGAGUUGCGAACGGGUGAGUAACGCGUAGGUAACCUGCCUGGUAGCGGUGGAUAACUAUUGGAAACGAUAGCUAAUACCGCAUAAUAGUAGAUGUUGCAUGACAUUUGCUUAAAAGGUGCAAUUGCAUCACUACCAGAUGGACCUGCGUUGUAUUAGCUAGUUGGUGGGGUAACGGCUCACCAAGGCGACGAUACAUAGCCGACCUGAGAGGGUGAUCGGCCACACUGGGACUGAGACACGGCCCAGACUCCUACGGGAGGCAGCAGUAGGGAAUCUUCGGCAAUGGACGGAAGUCUGACCGAGCAACGCCGCGUGAGUGAAGAAGGUUUUCGGAUCGUAAAGCUCUGUUGUAAGAGAAGAACGAGUGUGAGAGUGGAAAGUUCACACUGUGACGGUAUCUUACCAGAAAGGGACGGCUAACUACGUG
rnacentral:rRNA from 1 species